UGAAAAAAAAAAUCAAAAGAAAAAGAUAUCCGCAGGAAUGUUAAUGAACUUUUAAAACAUAUUGGCAAUGAAUAUCGGUGUUUGCAUCGACAUAUAAGUCUUACGUCAUUUAUCAAACUAUGAGGAAUCUGAUUGGCCAGAUCGUUUCAUCAACAUGAUCAACGUCAGGGUGGCUUGUACAUCACGUCAUAUUUCAUGGUCGCCAGUUGAUCAGGCUCCUUGGAAUGAGUGUCUUAUCAAUUAAACACACGUUUGAAAGAUCGAUAUUGCUUUUAUUUUGACAUGAUAUAUACGGACAACAAACAAACGAGUAGAUCAAGUUACCAAAGAGAGCUGAAAAGAAGACAUUUAAGAUAUAUUGAUACGGUCUUUUGUAAUUCAGUGAACAUAAUUGCCUAAACAUAUGCCUAAAUUCAUAAUGUUUACCCGAUGAAGACACAAUUGGUGUAAAUUAAAAG